CCUACGGGAGGCAGCAGUGGGGGAUAUUGCACAAUGGGGGGAACCCUGAUGCAGCGACGCCGCGUGUGUGAAGGAGUGCUUCGGCAUGUAAAGCCCUAUCGGCGGGGAGGAAGCAAGACGGUACCUGACUAAGAAGCCCCGGCUAACUACGUGCCAGCAGCCGCGGUAAAACGUAGGGGGCGAGCGUUAUCCGGAUUUACUGGGUGGAAAGGGAGCGUAGACGGCCAAGCAAGCCAGGGGUGAAAGCCCGGGGCCCAACCUGGGGACUGCCCUUGGAACUGGAAGGCUGGAGUGUGGGAGGGGGAGGCAGAAUUCCAGGUGUAGCGGUGAAAUGCGUAGAGAUCAGGAGGAAUACCGGCGGCGAAGGCGGCCCGCUGGACCAAGACUGACGCUGAGGUUCGAAAGCGUGGGGAGCGAACAGGAUUAGAUACCCCUGUAGUC
rnacentral:rRNA from 1 species